rnacentral:rRNA from 1 species
UACGUAGGGCGCAAGCGUUGUCCGGAAUUAUUGGGCGUAAAGAGCUCGUAGGCGGUCUGUCACGUCUGCCGUGAAAACCCGAGGCUUAACCUCGUGGCUUGCGGUGGAUACGGGCAGACUAGAGGUAGGUAGGGGAGAACGGAAUUCCCGGUGUAGCGGUGAAAUGCGUAGGAGAGUCGGAGGAAGGCCGGUGGCGAAGGCGGCGCUCUGGAACAUUUCUGACGCUGAGGCUCGAAAGCGGUGGGGAGCAAACAGG